GACGAACGCUGGCGGCGUGCCUAAUACAUGCAAGUGGGACGCAAGGAGACACACUGUGCUUGCACACCGUGUUUUCUUGAGUCGCGAACGGGUGAGUAACGCGUAGGUAACCUGCCUAUUAGCGGGGGAUAACUAUUGGAAACGAUAGCUAAUACCGCAUAAUAUUAAUUAUUGCAUGAUAAUUGAUUGAAAGAUGCAAGCGCAUCACUAGUAGAUGGACCUGCGUUGUAUUAGCUAGUUGGUAAGGUAAGAGCUUACCAAGGCGACGAUACAUAGCCGACCUGAGAGGGUGAUCGGCCACACUGGGACUGAGACACGGCCCAGACUCCUACGGGAGGCAGCAGUAGGGAAUCUUCGGCAAUGGACGAAAGUCUGACCGAGCAACGCCGCGUGAGUGAAGAAGGUUUUCGGAUCGUAAAGCUCUGUUGUAAGUCAAGAACGUGUGUGAGAGUGGAAAGUUCACACAGUGACGGUAGCUUACCAGAAAGGGACGGCUAACUACGUG
rnacentral:rRNA from 1 species